rnacentral:rRNA from 1 species
AUGUAUCCGAGCUUGCUUCAUGGAUCAGUGGCGAACGGGUGAGUAACACGUGAGCAACCUGCCCCUGACUCUGGGAUAAGCGCUGGAAACGGCGUCUAAUACCGGAUAUGAGACGUGAUCGCAUGGUCGACGUUUGGAAAGAUUUUUCGGUUGGGGAUGGGCUCGCGGCCUAUCAGCUUGUUGGUGAGGUAAUGGCUCACCAAGGCGUCGACGGGUAGCCGGCCUGAGAGGGUGACCGGCCACACUGGGACUGAGACACGGCCCAGACUCCUACGGGAGGCAGCAGUGGGGAAUAUUGCACAAUGGGCGAAAGCCUGAUGCAGCAACGCCGCGUGAGGGACGACGGCCUUCGGGUUGUAAACCUCUUUUAGCAGGGAAGAAGCGAAAGUGACGGUACCUGCAGAAAAAGCGCCGGCUAACUACGUGCCAGCAGCCGCGGUAAUACGUAGGGCGCAAGCGUUAUCCGGAAUUAUUGGGCGUAAAGAGCUCGUAGGCGGUUUGUCGCGUCUGCUGUGAAAUCCCGAGGCUCAACCUCGGGCCUGCAGUGGGUACGGGCAGACUAGAGUGCGGUAGGGGAGAUUGGAAUUCCUGGUGUAGCGGUGGAAUGCGCAGAUAUCAGGAGGAACACCGAUGGCGAAGGCAGAUCUCUGGGCCGUAACUGACGCUGAGGAGCGAAAGGGUGGGGAGCAAACAGGCUUAGAUACCCUGGUAGUCCACCCCGUAAACGUUGGGAACUAGUUGUGGGGACCAUUCCACGGUUUCCGUGACGCAGCUAACGCAUUAAGUUCCCCGCCUGGGGAGUACGGCCGCAAGGCUAAAACUCAAAGGAAUUGACGGGGACCCGCACAAGCGGCGGAGCAUGCGGAUUAAUUCGAUGCAACGCGAAGAACCUUACCAAGGCUUGACAUAUACGAGAACGGGCCAGAAAUGGUCAACUCUUUGGACACUCGUAAACAGGUGGUGCAUGGUUGUCGUCAGCUCGUGUCGUGAGAUGUUGGGUUAAGUCCCGCAACGAGCGCAACCCUCGUUCUAUGUUGCCAGCACGUAAUGGUGGGAACUCAUGGGAUACUGCCGGGGUCAACUCGGAGGAAGGUGGGGAUGACGUCAAAUCAUCAUGCCCCUUAUGUCUUGGGCUUCACGCAUGCUACAAUGGCCGGUACAAAGGGCUGCAAUACCGUGAGGUGGAGCGAAUCCCAAAAAGCCGGUCCCAGUUCGGAUUGAGGUCUGCAACUCGACCUCAUGAAGUCGGAGUCGCUAGUAAUCGCAGAUCAGCAACGCUGCGGUGAAUACGUUCCCGGGUCUUGUACACACCGCCCGUCAAGUCAUGAAAGUCGGUAACACCUGAAGCCGGGGC